GAGUUUGAUCCUGGCUCAGAAUCAACGCUGGCGGCGCGCUUAACACAUGCAAGUCGAACGAGAAAGGGGAGCAAUCCCUGAGUAAAGUGGCGUACGGGUGAGUAACACGUGGGUAAUCUGCCUCUGGGUGGGGAAUAACUCUGGGAAACCGGAGCUAAUACCGCAUAAGCCUGAAAGGGGAAAGGCGAAAGUCGCCGAGAGAGGAGCCCGCGGCCGAUUAGCUGGAUGGUGGGGUAAAGGCCUACCAUGGCUGAGAUCGGUAGCCGGCCUGAGAGGGCACACGGCCACACUGGCACUGAAACACGGGCCAGACUCCUACGGGAGGCAGCAGUGGGGAAUCUUGCACAAUGGGGGAAACCCUGAUGCAGCGACGCCGCGUGAGCGAUGAAGCCCUUCGGGGUGUAAAGCUCUUUCGGCAGGGACGAUAAUGACGGUACCUGAAGAAGAAGCUGCGGCUAACUACGUGCCAGCAGCCGCGGUAAUACGUAGGCAGCGAGCGUUGUUCGGAGUUACUGGGCGUAAAGCGUGCGUAGGCGGUGGCCCAAGUCUGGUGUGAAAUCUCCCGGCUUAACCGGGAGGGUGCGCCGGAAACUGGGUUGCUUGAGUGCCGGAGAGGCAGGCGGAAUUCCUGGUGUAGCGGUGAAAUGCGUAGAUAUCAGGAGGAACACCCGUGGUGUAGACGGCCUGCUGGACGGUAACUGACGCUGAGGCACGAAAGCGUGGGGAGCAAACAGGAUUAGAUACCCUGGUAGUCCACGCCCUAAACGAUGCAUACUUGGUGUGGGCAGUUCAGUCUGUCC
rnacentral:rRNA from 1 species